GGUAAAAUGGCUGAGUGAAGCAUUAGACUGUAAAUCUAAAGACAGAGGUUUAUAUUCCUCUUUUUACCA
rnacentral:tRNA from 3 species